rnacentral:lncRNA from 1 species
GCUUUAAUCUAUGUCCAUUCACCUUAAGGAUCUUGUUUGUACUAGGACUUUGAAUCUCAACUGCACCAUGAGGAAACACAUUAGUGAUAACAAAAGGACCAACCCAUCUAGAUCUCAAUUUACCUGGAAAUAACUUAAGCCGAGAAUGAUAUAACAAAACUUUUUGUCCCACAAUAAAAGUUUUUUGCACAAUCUGCUUAUCAUGAAAAGCUUUGGUCUUUUCCUUGUAAAUCUUUGAACUUUCAUAGGCUUCAUUCCUCAAUUCUUCCAACUCUUGUAACUGCAAUUUCCUGUGUACUCCAGCUGCC